AGUUCAAGCGAUUCUCGUGCCUCAGCUUCCUGAGUAGCUGGGAUUACAGGCACCGGGUACCACCCCCGGCUCAUUUUUGUCUUUUUAGUAGUGAUGGGUUUCGCCAUGUUGGCCAGUCUGGUUUCAAACUCCUGACUUCACGUGACCACCAGCCUCAGCCUCCCAAAGUGCUGGGAUUACAGGCGUGAGCCACCGAGACCAGCCUCACCUCAUUCACUCUUACCUGGACGCCUGACUUUACUUGAGAUACAGGCAUAGUGAUUCUCAGCAGGAAACAGCCUGCCCCCACGUCACGCCCAGAGACCCAUCACUGGCUGCCUGGCUUGGUGACAAAGUCCAUGCAUUUCUAAUCAGAAACAUGGAGGCCAGGAAGCAGUGGAGAAUGACGACCCUCAGGCAGCCCUGGAGGAUGCUGUCACAGGCUGGGGCAACGGCCUUCAGGCUACCAACUGGGAGCUCUGGGAACAGCCCUGUUGCAAACAGGAAGUCAUGGCCCGGCCAGAGCCCAGAAUGUGGGCUGAGCUGGGAUCCAUGUGACAGCUUUGAGGCUCACCGGGAGCAGCCUCUGGACAGGAGAGGUCCCAUCCAGGAAACCUCGGGCAUGGCUGGGAAGUGGGGUACUUGGUGCCGGGUCUGUAUGUGUGUGUGACUGGUGUGUGUGAGAGAGAAUGUGUGCCCUGAGUGUCAGUGUGAGUCUGUGUAUGUGUGAAUAUUGUCUUUGUGUGGGUGAUUUUCUGCAUGUGUAAUCGUGUCCCUGCAAGUGUGAACAAGUGGACAAGUGUCUGGGAGUGGACAAGAGAUCUGUGCACCAUCAGGUGUGUGCAUAGC
rnacentral:lncRNA from 1 species